rnacentral:rRNA from 1 species
AGGAGUAUCGUCGGCAGCGUCAGAUGUGUAUAAGAGACAGGUAUACAAGAAAAGGUGCAUAUUAUUAGAUACAUUGUAGCGGUAGAGGAGCAUUCUGUAGUAGGGUGAAGUAUGAUCGAAAGGACAUAUGGACGAGGCAGAAGAGAGAAUGCUGGAAUAAGUAGCGAGAGCAAAGUGAGAAUCUUUGCCGUCGAAAGUCUAAGGUUUCCUGGGGAAGGUUCGUCCGCCCAGGGUAAGUCGGGACCUAAGGUGAGGCCAAGAAGGCGUAGCCGAUGGAUAGCAGGUAUAAAAUUCCUGCACUACCGAAAUACUUAAAAACGAUAAGGGACGCAGGAGAGGAAGGAAAUCCGGGAAGAGGAAAAACCGGAGCCGAAAGGCAUAGUGAAAAUUUAAAGUAACGAAGUUCCAAGAAUCACACUGACGAGAAAAGCUUAUUGACAUUGUAUUAAGGUACCCGUACCGCAAACCGACACAGGUAGAUGAGGAGAGGAUCCUAAGACGAGCGAGAGAAGUACUGUUAAGGAACUCGGCAAACUAACCCCGUAACUUAGGGAGAAGGGGUACCUAUGUAAAAGUAGGUCGCAGAGAAGAGUCCCAAGCAACUGUUUAACAAAAACACAGGUUUCUGCUAAAUCGAAAGAUGAAGUAUAGGAGCUGACGCCUGCCCAGUGCUGGAAGGUUAAGGGGAAAUGUUAGAGUAAUCGAAGCAUAGAACUAAAGCCCCAGUGAACGGCGGCCGUAACUAUAACGGUCCUAAGGUAGCGAAAUUCCUUGUCAGGUAAGUUCUGACCCGCACGAAAGGCGUAAUGAUUUGGGAGCUGUCUCGACAGUAUACUCGGCGAAAUUGUAGUACUAGUGAAGAUGCUAGUUACCUGCGACAAGACAGAAAGACCCCAUGGAGCUUUACUGUAGCUUGAUAUUGGGUUUCGGUAAUUUAUGUACAGGAUAGGUGGGAGACUAUGAAGCAAGAGCGUCAGCUUUUGUGGAGUCACCCUUGGGAUACCACCCUUAAAUUAUUGGAAUUCUAACCUGUGAUCAUGAACUGGUCAGGGGACAAUGUCAGGCGGGCAGUUUGACUGGGGCGGUCGCCUCCUAAAGAGUAACGGAGGCGCCCAAAGGUUUCCUCAACCCGGACAGAAAUCGGGUGAAAGAGUGCAAAGGCAGAAGGAAGCUUAACUGAAAGACAGACAUGUCGAGCAGAUACGAAAGUAGGGCUUAGUGAUCCGGUGGUAUGUGAGUGGAAAUGCCAUCGCUCAACGGACAAAAGUUACCCUGGGGAUAACAGGCUUAUCUCUCCCAAGAGUUCACAUCGACGGGGAGGUUUGGCACCUCGAUGUCGGCUCAUCGCAUCCUGGAGCUGUAGCAGGUUCCAAGGGUUGGGCUGUUCGCCCAUUAAAGCGGUACGCGAGCUGGGUUCAGAACGUCGUGAGACAGUUCGGUCCUUAUCUGUCGCAGGCGCAGGAUAUUUGAAGGGAGUUGUCCUUAGUACGAGAGGACCAGGAUGAACAUACCGAUGGUGCAACAGUUGUCACACCAGUGGCAUAGCUGUGUAGCUAAGUAUGGAAGGGAUAAACGCUGAAAGCAUCUAAGUGUGAAGCCCACCCUAAGAUAAGAUAUCCCACAACGUUAAGUUGG